UAAAGAAUUUGGCAUCUAAUUUAUGGGUCC
rnacentral:piRNA from 1 species